GAUGAACGCUGGCGGCGUGCCUAACACAUGCCAGUCGAACGGAGAUUACGGACGGAAGUUUUCGGAUGGAAGCCUGUAAUUCUUAGUGGCGGACGGGUGAGUAACGCGUGGGCAACCUGCCCUAUACAGGGGGAUAGCAGCCGGAAACGGCUGGUAAGACCGCAUAAGUCGGUUAAAUCGCAUGAUUUGAUCGGGAAAUGAGCAAUCAGGUAUAGGAUGGGCCCGCGUCCGAUUAGCCAGUUGGCAGGGUAAAAGCCUACCAAAGCGACGAUCGGUAGCCGGACUGAGAGGUCGGACGGCCACAUUGGGACUGAGACACGGCCCAAACUCCUACGGGAGGCAGCAGUGGGGGAUAUUGCACAAUGGAGGAAACUCUGAUGCAGCGACGCCGCGUGAGUGAAGAAGUAUUUCGGGAUGUAAAGCUCUAUCAGCAGGGAAGAUGAUGACGGUACCUGACGAAGAAGCCCCGGCUAACUACGUG
rnacentral:rRNA from 1 species